GUGCUCACUUGGCCAGCACAUAUCCUAAAAUUGAAACAAAACAAAGGAGAUUUAGCGUGACCCCUACACAAAGAUAACACUCAAAUUCGUGAAAAGUUCCAUUUUUUU